AUCCUCCACCCUGAAGGAAACAUGCUACUACAACAGCCAAUCUCCUUUCACCUCAGAGCUUCACCCAGGAGACACUCAUAUCACAUCCUCAUCAUCAUCGUCUUCCUCAGCAUAUUCAUCAUCUUCAUCAUCAUCAUGAUAUUUUUCUUCAUCAUGAUGUUCAGAGUUCUGAUUCACCUGGCAGCUCUACCACUCUGGGUGACAGGGCAGGUGUUUAGUAGCAUGGUUCAUCAGAGGCCUGUGGCACUAACAGAAGGUCCUGGAGGAGACGUUCAACUCACCUGCAGCCAUACGAUCUCUAACUACUACGUGAUACUAUGGUACAAACAGUCAGCAGGAGACACUGCUAUGAAACUCAUUGGUUAUGCAUAUACCAAGUUAAUAACCAUGGAGAAAUCAUUUGAAAAGCACUUCAAUGUGAGUGGAGAUGGUGGGAAAGAGGCUUAUCUUCAUCUAUUGAGUCUGAGAGGACCUGAACACUGUGCAGUUUAUUACUGUGCAGCCAGCCAACACAGUGAUGUAGACUUCCUCCUGUUCUCUACUAAAACCCUGUCUGAUGGUAAUAUUAGACCACGGCUCAGAACACCUGCAUCUGAGGUUUGACUUUGACUCAAUGCCAAUGAAUAAACACAGAUGGAUGAUGGCAUAAGGUGAUAUCUGUCCUAGUACAGUAUACCAGUAUUUACAGUUUACUGUCACCACUCAUUAACAUACAUUAUGCAAUGUUACAAUGUCAUAUUCCAUUACUCCAUUUCUAUCUCUCCCCUCUCUCUCUCUCUCUCUCUCUCUCUCUCUCUCUCUCUCUCUCUCUCUCUCUAUCUCUCCCCUCUCUCUCUCUCUAUCUCUCCCCUCUCUCUCUAUCUCUCCCCUCUCGCUCAAUUCAAUUCAAU
rnacentral:lncRNA from 1 species